UUGGAGGGCAAGUCUGGUGCCAGCAGCCGCGGUAAUUCCAGCUCCAAUAGCGUAUAUUAAAGUUGUUGCAGUUAAAAAGCUCGUAGUUGAAUUUCGGGAUCAAUAUGUUGGUCGUGCCUUGGUACGUACUGGCAUCGUUGGUUCCUACCUUCUGAAGAACCUCGAUGUCAUUCAUUUGGUGUCUUGGGGAAUCAGGACUGUUACUUUGAAAAAAUUAGAGUGUUUAAAGCAAGCUCACGCUUGAAUACAUUAGCAUGGAAUAAUGAAAUAGGACGUUUGAUUCUAUUUUGUUGGUUUCUAGGAUCGACGUAAUGAUUAAUAGGGAUAGUUGGGGGCAUUAGUAUUCAAUUGUCAGAGGUGAAAUUCUUGGAUUUAUUGAAGACUAACUACUGCGAAAGCAUUUGCCAAGGAUGUUUUCAUUAAUCAAGAACGAAAGUUAGGGGAUCGAAGACGAUCAGAUACCGUCGUAGUCUUAACCAUAAACUAUGCCGACUAGGGAUCGGAUGAUGUUAAUUUUUUAAUGACUCAUUCGGCGCCUUACGGGAAAC
rnacentral:rRNA from 1 species